CCUACGGGUGGCAGCAGUGGGGAAUAUUGCACAAUGGGCGAAAGCCUGAUGCAGCAACGCCGCGUGAGCGAUGAAGGUCUUCGGGUCGUAAAGCUCUGUCCUAAGGGAAGAAUACUGACGGUACCUUAGGAGGAAGCCCCGGCUAACUACUUGCCAGCAGCCGCGGUAAUACGGAGGGGGCUAGCGUUAUCCGGAAUUACUGGGCGUAAAGGGUGCGUAGGCGGCCCUGCAAGUCGAAGGUGAAAGGCUACGGCUAAAACGUAGUAAGGCUAUGAAACUGUAGGGCUUGAGUGCAGGAGGGGAGGGUGGAAUUCCCAGUGUAGGGGUGAAAUGCGUAGAUAUUGUGAUGAACACCAGUUGCGAAGGCGGCGCUCUGGACUGUAACUGACGCUGAGGCACGAAAGUGUGGGGAGCGAACAGGAUUAGAUACCCUUGUAGUC
rnacentral:rRNA from 1 species